rnacentral:rRNA from 1 species
GGAAUUGACGGGACCGCACAAGCGGUGGAUGAUGUGGUUUAAUUCGAUGCAACGCGAAAACCUUACCCACCUUUGACAUGUACGGAAUCCUUUAGAGAUAGAGGAGUGCUCGAAAGAGAGCCGUAACACAGGUGCUGCAUGGCUGUCGUCAGCUCGUGUCGUGAGAUGUUGGGUUAAGUCCCGCAACGAGCGCAACCCUUGCCAUUAGUUGCUACGAAAGGGCACUCUAAUGGGACUGCCGGUGACAAACCGGAGGAAGGUGGGGAUGACGUCAAGUCCUCAUGGCCCUUAUAGGUGGGGCUACACACGUCAUACAAUGGCCGGUACAGAGGGUAGCCAACCCGCGAGGGGGAGCCAAUCCCACAAAGCCGGUCGUAGUCCGGAUCGCAGUCUGCAACUCGACUGCGUGAAGUCGGAAUCGCUAGUAAUCGCGGAUCAGCAUGUCGCGGUGAAUACGUUCCCGGGUCUU